GGCCUGGUAGCUCAGUUGGUUAAAGCAUUGUUCUGAUACAGCAAGAUUGUGGGUUUGAUCUCCAGUCAGGGCA
rnacentral:tRNA from 1 species